UUUCCUGAUGAUAUAAUUUGCGUUGGAGCGCUGCCGCUGGAGUUACACGCCUGUUUCUCAGACAGCACAGCAGCGAUGACAUUCAAUUCUUACAUAUGCUGAUC
rfam:Zymoseptoria brevis strain Zb18110 contig4169, whole genome shotgun sequence.